rnacentral:rRNA from 1 species
UACGAAGGGGGCUAGCGUUGUUCGGAAUCACUGGGCGUAAAGGGCGCGUAGGCGGCCGAUCAAGUCGGGGGUGAAAGCCUGUGGCUCAACCGAGGAAGUGCACCCGAAACUGGAUAGCUAGAGUACGAAAGAGGGUCGCGGAAUUCCCGGUGUAGAGGUGAAAUUCGUAGAUAUCGGGAGGAACACCGGUGGCGAAGGCGGCGACCUGGGUCGAUACUGACGCUGAGGUGCGAAAAGCGUGGGGGAGCAAACAGG